rnacentral:misc_RNA from 1 species
UCUUUUCGAAUGCCUUUCUCUCUUAUCUGCAUUGCGGGGAGGCGGUGAAGGAAGCAAGGACAGCCAAGAGGCAACGAAACCAUUGGUUCGAGGGGACAGAAGAGUGCAUUAGUGAGGGGAGUGCUGAUCAUCUCCGAGGCAACGCACCUCUCUCGCCUCCACAAUCCAUUGUGAUCUCGGCGCUAUCACUGGUACUACUGCUACUCCACCAGCACUACCGCAGGUACCAUCCUUACCCCGUUUUUCUCUUCUGCUCUGCGUACACUGCUUCACUUUUUAUGGUUCAACUCGUCCACUACAAGGAGAGCACUGAUACUUGCCGCGCCAUGCGUGACCGUCGUCCCUUGCUGAGGAAAGAUGCGGAGACGGCCGCCACCGAGCUGAGCAUGCCGGCGGAGACGGCACAGGAGCGGUAUCAGCGCGCCAAGAAGCGUGAGGCCAAGGACAUGCAGCGCGGUGCUCUUAGCUACCUCCUCUUCAUCCUUGUGUUCCUAGGCGUUCCCCUUCUUAUUGUGGCCUACUGCACGCCCUUCUUUGUGCUUCAAAACCUGCGCUGCCGUCUGCAGGAGAAGUACUUCUGGUCGGACACAACCGUGCGGGCUAUGGAAGACGGCUACACUCGCUACUUCAACGAGCCGCCGCUCUACCCGUCAACAGAGUACAACCGCACAAUGAUGUGGGGCACCUACGAGCCGAGCCGCAUAUUUGCGGUCAAGAGCCGCUCUCUAAAGCCCGUCACUGUGGGCAUUGCGUGGUAUGACUCGGCCAUGGCGCAUCCGCUGCGCCACACGAUGCCGUACCUGCAUAACAAGGUGAGCGCCCCGCGCACGACGCAGAAGAAGGGCAUUGACGCGGAGGUCAUGCAGGUGAAGUGGGUCGUGAACGACGGGUUGCACUACGCUAAGGAGGUUGUGGAGGACCGAGGAAACAAGGUUUCUCUUGAGAUCGAGCUGCUCAAGAGUCCGUUUGCGGAUGCCUGGCACGUGCGCAUCCACGCCCGCGUUGAAAGCGACUCGCCACUGGUUAUGGUGGUGUACAUGUCGCACGCGGACACGCAGGAGCGCAUCGAGCUGGAGGCGCCGACCGAGCACAACGACGGCGACUGGAGCCCGGUGCUCAAGAGCCGCAUGCAGCCGGAGGGGAAGACAGAGCACACCGACUUCACGCUCCGGGUCCAUGAUGACCACAGCCCUCUCCACGAUACCGCCCCAUGGCACGUGUAUGGCCUUCACACCGACGUCGAGGCGGCCUUCCAGCGCAAGGCGGUGGACGCAGUCGGCACCACGCCGGCAGAGCGCGCUGCAGCAGGUGGCAGAGGCAUCGGCGGCGGCGUUCACGUUGGGGAGCUUCAGCAGCAACAGCUGGAUCUUCGGCGGCUGCCCGAAUCUGCUUUCACGUACAUCCAGGCGAAGGACCCGCAGUCGUUUCGGACACCGCCGUCAUGGACGUCGCACAACGUCAUGAUUUUGCGCAAGUCGUACGACUCCAGCUUCCGCCUCGAGCUGUCCUUAAGCCCUGCUGACCAUGCCCGAGGCGAUGAGGCGCCAGGGGCGUCAACGACGAACAGGAUCGGCAACCUUGUCCCACGCUACGAGGCGCUCAGCACUUGCCAGCUGACCAACGCGCUUCGGUGGCGGUCGAAGGCGAUCAGUCUGCACUCCGCCAAGAUUUUCCGCCCAUUUCUGAGGGUGUUCAACAGCAGCAAGGACCUCUACGAGCGCAUUGCCACCGUUACAUUGGCAGAGAUGCUCGGCUCACUGACCUUCACUAGCGGGCACUACUUGCAUGUAGGUGCCGACAUGGACGAUGCCUGGGACCAGCAAGGGCGGGCCGAGGCGAUGUGGGGUGACGCGAAGCUGCAAGCGUCGCGGCAGCGAGUCAGCGCGAUCGCUGUGGUCGGCUCGCGCACAGACGAGGCGUUUGGCCAGCCGUCAUUGACAGGUCUGCCGCUCUUGUUUCUCACAAGGUGGAACAAGGAGGUGGUGAAGGACAUUCUUGCCUCAUGGCUGCUCGGUGCGCAGGACGCAGAGACGGGCUUCGUCCCCAACCGCGCUGUCUUCGGCGCUGAGACGCGCUCCUUCACCCCACAAGCGCUGCGCUACGAGCAUCCCACCUUGGCCUCCCCACCAACGCUGCUCUUGGGCCUGCAUGGGUUGCUGAAGGAGAUGAGUCGCAAGUCGGCACGGCUCGCCACGGCGAAUCACCGAAAGCCACGCAACACCCCAGAGUACUUGGAGCGCGAAAGGGCCGCCGACGAGGCAUUUCUGCGCGUCAUUCUGCCCGCACUGAAGCGCUGGCGCAAGUGGUGGCACCACACACAGUGCGGAGGCGCCACGGACGAGCUGGCCCGACAGUGUCGCUCUCGCAAGCCUCUGGAGGAGUGGCCGCUUCGGCCGGCGGAGGGCCAGCCGGAGAGCCUGCUGGUGUACCGCUGGCGUGGGCGGGAUGGGCAUCGACUGCCCACGAGCGGCAUGGAGGAUUAUCCGCGGCCCAUCUGCGCCGGCGAGCACCACCGCGAGGCGCACGUGGACGCUUUUUCAUGGGUUGCGCUGCUGAGCACAUUGAUCAGUCGCAUCGAGACCGAGUUCUUGCACGAAGCGGAGAGCGUUUCUCUUGAUUGGGAGGCUCACCUGAACGCUGUUCAUUGGGAUGCCGCGGAGAUGCGCUACAGCGACCGCAUUGGGUGCAGCAGCUGGACGCACACUCCCUACUUUGGCUACGCAAAUCUGUACCCUGUGAUGCUUGGCGUGGUAAGGCAAAACCUCUCCAGGGCAGCACGCACCAUCGCGCUGGCUCAGCGGGAGCUGGAGAGCGACUACGGUCUGAUGUCCGUGUCAUUCUCAUCGGUGCGUCUCGCGCGUGAGUCGGGGCUGCCGCACCACAACAUGUGGAUGGGGUACGUGUGGCCCUCUGCCAACCUAAUUUUUCUCUACGGCGUUAAGUCCCACUACUUAGAGGCUCUGGACAGCACCAGCGCCGCGGCCGGCGGCUUGACAGAGGCGCGGCUGCGCGACUUCUACACAAGCUUGCGAGUGAACGUCAUAGAGACAAUCCGCGGAGGGUCCCGCUGGUGGGAGUACUACAGCCCUCUUGACGGGCGGGGUGAGGGCAGCAAGACGCACAUCGCAACGCGCAGCCUGCUGCUUGGCCUACUGGACGACUUUGCGUAAAGCUGCGAAGAGAGGCGGAUGGGGCAGGGGACUGUGUCGAGUUGGGCUGUGGUGAGAGCAGCGAAGAAGAAAAACGGAGCAUCGAUGUCUGGCACGCUGGAAAAUCAACUCGCUUUCCGUUGCCCGCCGAUGCUCUUUUCAUAAUCCCCCCCCCCCCGAUCCGCGAGGGUGGCGUCGCCGUCGACUUCGCCUCCUCUGCGUUGCUGUCGCCCAGCUUCUCUUUGUCGUCUUGUGCGGGCGCGCAAGUCGACAGCGGCAGUCGCUCUUCUCUGUCUUUUCCACCCCGACCUCUUGCAUCACGCACACACUCCACACCGCUCACACCUCCCUUCCUUUUUGCCGGUUGCAUGGAAUUCGCGAAG